UACGAAGGGGGCUAGCGUUGUUCGGAAUCACUGGGCGUAAAGGGCGCGUAGGCGGCCGAUCAAGUCGGGGGUGAAAGCCUGUGGCUCAACCACAGAAUUGCCUUCGAUACUGGUUGGCUUGAGACCGGAAGAGGUAAGUGGAACUGCGAGUGUAGAGGUGAAAUUCGUAGAUAUUCGCAAGAACACCAGUGGCGAAGGCGGCUUACUGGUCCGGUUCUGACGCUGAGGCGGCGAAAAGCGUGGGGAGCAAACAGG
rnacentral:rRNA from 1 species